rnacentral:rRNA from 1 species
ACGGAGGGUGCGAGCGUUGUCCGGAAUCAUUGGGCGUAAAGGGCGCGUAGGUGGCGGGACAAGCGUGCGGUGAAAGCUCGGGGCUCAACCCCGAGUCGGCCGUGCGAACUGUUUUGCUCGAGCACUGUAGAGGCAGGCGGAAUUCCGGGUGUAGCGGUGGAAUGCGUAGAGAUCCGGAAGAACACCGGUGGCGAAGGCGGCCUGCUGGGCAGUAGCUGACACUGAGGCGCGACAGCGUGGGGAGCAAACAGGAUUAGAUACCCUGGUAGUCCACGCCGUAAACGAUGGGCACUAGGCGCUUGGGGGAGCGACCCCCCGAGGGCCGGCGCUAACGCAUUAAGUGCCCCGCCUGGGGAGUACGGCCGCAAGGCUG